rnacentral:rRNA from 1 species
GACGAACGCUGGCGGCGUGCUUAACACAUGCAAGUCGAACGGGGUCGCAAGACCCAGUGGCGGACGGGUGAGUAACGCGUAGGCAAUCUGCCCCUCAGUGGGGGACACCCAGCCGAAAGGUUGGCUAAUACCGCAUACGCUGGUCGGUUGAAAUACCGGUCAGGAAAGGUUUACUGCUGAGGGAUGAGCCUGCGUCCGAUUAGCUAGUUGGUAGGGUAACGGCCUACCAAGGCGACGAUCGGUAGCUGGUCUGAGAGGACGAUCAGCCACACUGGAACUGAGACACGGUCCAGACUCCUACGGGUGGCUG